ACCUGGGUGGCUCAGUUGGUUGAGCGUCUGACUUUUGGUUUUGGCUCAGGUCAUGAUCUCACAUUUCAUGGGUUCGAGUCCCACAUCAGGCU
rnacentral:tRNA from 1 species